rnacentral:rRNA from 1 species
AUUGAACGCUGGCGGCAGGCCUAACACAUGCAAGUCGAACGAGUGGCGGACGGGUGAGUAAUGUCUGGGAACCUCCCCAUCAGAGGGGGAUAACACUUGGAACCAGGUGCUAAUCCCGCAUACUGCUGUAUGGACCCGCGUGGUAUUAGCUAGUGGGUGAGGUAACGGCUCACCAAGGCCACGAUGCAUAGCCGACCUGAGAGGGUGAUCGGCCACACUGGGACUGAGACACGGUCCAGACUCCUACGGGAGGCAGCAGUGGGGAAUAUUGGACAAUGGGCGCAAGCCUGAUCCAGCCAUGCCGCGUGGGUGAAGAAGGCCUUCGGGUUGUAAAGCCCUUUUGUUGGGAAAGCGGUACCCAAAGAAGAAGCACCGGCUAACUCCGUGCCAGCAGCCGCGGUAAUUC